UCUAAAAUAAACAUUGUUAUAUCGUACUCAUCAGCAUCGCCAUCAUCAUCAGCAUUAAUAUCAGCAUCACAAUUAGCAACUGAUAUAGUUCUUCUUCAAUGAUUAGAGCUUUUAUUUACAGCUUAAAUUUAAUGAAAAAAGAACAACCUUUACCGGUCGCAACUCAAUGCGAUCCGGAGGGGUCAGUACCCGGGAGAUGAAUUAUUGCAACUAUUUCCGAAAGUGUCCACAGUUAAAUCAUCAGUAGUAUACAAUAUUCCCCCAUUUGAUAUGAUCAGACAAUUACUCGUAGUUUUGCAACUUGGUUCUUUGUCUAUUGGAAUAUCAUGUUAAAUUAAUUGUCAAAAAUGCAUAACAAUUUGUAUGUCUUAAGAUACUAUAGGUCAUUCGAUUGUUUUAAAUGGGUGCACAUUUACAAUAUACCUUAUAUUCAAAUUGCGAAAUGUUAAUAGUUAAUUGAAGACGAAUCAAUACUGUUGGACUAAAGUACUACAAAGUUGUCAUCUGCACAGUUAUGGAGAAUAACACCAUUCAUUUGGAUGGAGGUAAUCAGUAUAUUAUAUUAUGCAAUUGUGUGUGUUUAAGUCAACUAAAACCUGCUAUGCGUACAUGCAUACUAAUAAGCGAUCGAUGUUUUUACGCAAGUAGCACUUGUAUACGUGUUUAUUAAGAAAAUAAUUGCAAUCAACAAUCUUGGAUUAAAGAAGGAAUAUUUAUUGGAUCUACGGCGUGAAAUUAUGUAAUUAGAGCAUUGUCGUAAAGUGUUAUCCUCUUUUAACAUUCACUAAUUUCAUCUUUAUAUAUAUGCAGCGUUCUAGAUAAGAUGCGUAUCAGCGUAAUAUACGCUUUACAAAUAUCAAGAUACUCUCAAUUUAUCUUUUCCGUGCGUACAUUUCAGCAAGCCAAUCUGGAGAUACGCAAUUGAUGAGAAUUCUCUGCGCACAACACAAUAAAAAUAUAAACAGCUGAUUGUCUUUCGCCGAAACAUGAGACUGGUUAUCGUUAAAAUUAGAGCUAUUUUUGCGCUGGCUUGUAUAAAUAGUAAGCCAGUCGGUAGGUAUACUCUGUAUGAUCGAGACGCAUGGUAAAUUUAGUAUUGAUUGUUUAAUAGACAGUCAAGCGCUUAUCAUUUGUGUUUAUUUACGUGCAGAUGUUAGCAUGGUUUUUUCGAAACCUAAACAAAGUACUUCUCAAACUAAAUUUGAUUCGUUUUAUUCGGCAAAAGUUGUUUCUUGUAAAAUCAUUGUACUGCCGAUACUGACCGAUUUAAUUUCAUCCGUUUUCAAAUCAAAAAGGACAUACUUGAACGCAAAUAAAUCAACUGUUGAAAGUUUGGAAAAAAGUUUUCCGUGGCUCACGGUGGUGGACGAUAGUGACGAAGUUCGUUUAAAAUGUAAAAUCUGCGAACAAUAUAAGGCUGAUAAUGUUUGGGCCACUGAAAGAGCAAUCAACAUUAAAAAGUCGGCCAUUGACAGGUAAAUCAUUUGAUAUGCCAAUUGAAUUCAUUGUCUUACUUUAGUUUAAAAAAUGUUGAUUGUGAACAGUACUGCAUGUAUAUAUAUUGUAUAGGCUACGUUUAACAGCCUCAUUAUUUGGGUAACCAUUUAGCCAAAUGGUAUGUGAUAAGAGUGUUCACUAAGGAGCACUGAGGUCCUGGGUUCAAUCCAUGGUGGAACCACGGAAGCCUACAUUUUCUCCCCAUGUUUACUUCAAUAUAACAAAUAAAAAGCUUGAAAUGCCUGAUAAGCUGUCUCUGCAUGCUUAAGAAACAAAAUUCUUUCGACAGGCACUGUACCAGCAAAGACCACAUUGAGUGCCAGAAGAAAGAUGCCAUGUAGCUUAUGUUGAUUCAGAAAGUGGCGAGAAAAGUGUCCCCGAUGACACGGAUACUCAGGAUCAGGCAUUAUUUAGUACACUCUAUUCCUUGAUGAAUAAUGAAAUACCACUAAACAAAUUAGAUCCUAUUUUUGAUUUACAGAGGCUCAAUGGUGUUGAAAUGCAUUAUCAGAUCUUGAGUCUAACCACAGUUACAGAAAUGCAAGAAGUUAUUGCUGAACAUUACAAAAAAAGAUCUUGUUACUCAAAUCAAAGAAUCUAACUAUUAUGCUAUACUUUUGGAUGAAAGUACUGAUAUAAGUGUAAGCAAGAGGUUAUCAGUCUGUGUAAGGUUCCUUAAACAUGGCCAAGCAGUUACUUCUUUUCUAGCAAGUGUUGAAAUAUCAGAUGGGUGUGCCUACAUGAUUGUUAAAAGUGUUCAUAAAAUCAUAACAACUUUAGGUUAAGAUCUUACAAAGUGUGUUUCCUUGACCACAUAUGGGGCUAGUGUAAUGAUGGGGAGAAAGACAGGGUUAGGAGUUCAGGUGAAGUCAAACGUUUGUCCAUUUAUUUCACAAACGCACUGUAUUGCACAUAGACUUAAUAUAGCUAUAACAGAUGCUAUAAGACAAUGGCCCCUUGAAAAAAAUUAAAGAAAUGUUUCAAUCAUUAUAUAACUUUAUGUCUGCAUCAAUAAUGAGGAUCAAUACCCUUAAGGCAAUGCAAGACUUGUUGAACGAACCGACAAUAAGCAUAAAUGAACCACGCUCCAUCCGUUGGCUUGGACUGAAGAAGUCUGUUGAGGCAGUGUAUGACUGCUUUGGAUCAUAGCUUGCAACUCUCUCUAUUUUAGCAACUAAAAAUCCGACAGCCAAGGGACUGUUCAAGUACUGUUCGACUUAACAGCUUUGCUCAUUGGUCUGAUGCUUUGCAUACAUACUGACUUAGGAGUAUUACCAUGUAACAUGCAGCAACAAAAGCUUGUAUUCUCAGAUGUACAUCCUUUAAUUCAAGGUGCUGUAGGUAGGUUAGAAUACAUGAAAACACAUGAUGGUAAAGGUCUGAAAGAGAUUAAAGAAACUAUUGAGUUUGGGGAGGGGGAGGAGUCACAGCCUAAAUAAAAAGGAGAAACUUUUAAAAAUCAUAAACAAUAAUCUGAUAGUGAUUUUCUAAACAUUAAAAUGUUGGUACAUAGGUAAUUUGAUUGACAAUAUAAAUACAAGGAUCAGGAAGUAUGACUCUGAGGUGCUGAGUAGUCUAGGACAUUUGUUAGAGCCAAUAUCAUAGAGUGCUGGAGGUGACCAGGAUGCACUAGAAUGUAUCACUAAAAUGUAUUGUGAACCAAAAGUUACCAAAAACACUGUAAAUAAUGUUGUUCAAGAGACAACGGUGGAAGCAUUAAUAAAUGGAAAAGAUUUGAAACUUGAAUGGCAAGGAAUCAAGGCAUUGUUUACUGGGUGUUAUAAGCAGCUUUAACUUGAAGACUUCUGCAAGAAAGUCAUUAUCAAACACACCGAUACUCACACUUACUUCGCAAAGGUGGCACAGAUUGGCAUGGUUAUGCAAGUGACCAGUGUGGAGUGUGAAUUUAAGGUCCUUCAGUACAUAGAACAGAAUAAAGACAAAGCACAGAGCUGCACUGAAGGACGAGUCACUUGAAGCACUACUCACGGUUAGCCUUCUUGGCCCCCACAGUGGCCAACUUCAAACCCGUUAAGUGUGUCCAGACCUGGCUUAGGAGGAAAAGACGCAGGAAGAAAAGGCUCAUGGAAGUCUAUAAAACAAAACACACUUUAAGAAACAUUUUAAGAAGGAAUACACACAGUUUAUUGUGUUUUACAUUAUUAAAGUAGUGUGUCUGUUCCCCGGC